CAAGCAAGUUCCCCUCCAAGUACCUAAGCGAUCGGCAGCCGUCCAAUGGUUGAGCAGAGCUGAGCAGAGCUGAGCAGCGAUCAGCCAAUGGUUGAGCAAUGCUGAGCAGAGCUCGGCGCUCAACGGACCAAUCAUUGAGCGAGGAUCGGAAAACGUCAUCUAAUUUAUUCAGGACUAGUAAAUAUUCACAUUUGGAUUCGUUGUCAUUGAGGACCGAUGGACUGUGUUUGUUUACUCGCAGAUUCUCAAGGUAGGAUCUACAACAACGGCCAGGGAGGGCACCGUGCAGUACGUCACCAUCGUGCUGAAUGAGUGGGGUCAGUUCUUGACCACAGUGGUGCUGUCCGGGUCCGAGAGGUGUUACGUACGCAUGGCCAGAGGUCUGGUCGCCCGCUUUUGCCGGGCCAACGCUCCUGCUCCAAAGGGUGUGUAUGUGGAUAACAACUGUGGUCGUGACAAUGGAUUCAGAGCAGCUCAGAAGAGCAAGUUUGGCUGCAUGACGUACGCUCAGGCGGCACAGGUGACCGAGGACAGUCGCCUCCUCUACCUCCUCCUCCAAGAUGCUGAAGAACUGAGCACCAGCCAAACAGCUCACCUCAGCCAGGUCACGGCUUCUUUGAAGGGACAGUAUAAGAGGAUUGCAGAGUUCGAGACGUCCCCAUCCUCGGCGGUCUUGCCAUUUCACUGCCCAACUUAAAUACCAAGUCCAUCUCAUCUUUCACUGCCAGGGAGGAGAAAAAUACUACGGGGCGACGGUACUGCCGAAGGGGAUGCCUCACCCGAAAGUGCUGUCGGAUGCACCGUUCCCGGAAGCUCCUGUGCUGCCAACAUCCCUCACAACACCAGACCGGCCUCAGGUCCAGUACCAGCAUGUUCAUCACGAGGCUGGAUGGGCGUGGUGAGAAGCGGAGAUUAUUUUUGAAGAGCCAUAGCCUGUGCCUGCUGUGAACCGGCCCGUUCAGCCCAUGGCAUCAUCCUCCUCCACUCGGCCAAGGCCUGCUGCGUCCACCCACCUCCAGCCAAAGCCUGCUGCGCCCACCUAUGAUCACCCCCUAUGUCGACAGCACCCAUACUGCUGGUUCUCCCCGCACAGCCACAGGCUCCCUCCAUCCUGUUUCAUGGGCCAUCGUGCAGCCCGGAGCUUUGUACCUCCAGCACCAACAGUCAAGGGAUUCAUGCCUAACAAGUCUUUGCAGUCAUGUGGGGCUUGCCACGUGCCUAAUUGUGUUGGACAUUGGAAGAGGUACACACCUUUCAAGGAAAAAGUGUCUGUAAGCACCCAGAAGAUAUUUUCCUACUGUCCAUCCACUAGGAAAUCCACCACCUCUGGGUUUGACAAUGUGCUGUACGAGUUGGAAAAGAGGAGAACUGUGUAAAUAACUUACCUGGGUGAUGCCACUUCUCCUGUGCCAUCUGUAGGAGAGAGAAAGAGGCUUGUUUGUUGUUUUAAAGUGCUUCAGCAAGUACAAUCUAUUGAUUUAUAUAGUUCAAAAGUAAACAAAAUGCACUUUACAGUUUUACUUAAGAAUAUUCUUGUGUUUGUUUUUUAUUAUUAUUUAUGUUGCUGUUUUAGUGCACUUUAUAGUAUCUUUAUUUAUACAAACAUGUUCUGGCCUAUGUUCAAUGUCAAGGCCAAUCUAACCUCAUUAAUUUUAACCUUAAUCAGUUUACAUACCCUUUAAUGGUUGUUCAUGUUCAGAUAAUCUGUGUUUUUGUCAUGCGUGUUGUUUGUCUUUGUCAGCUUCAUGACUUUGUGAUGUUUGUAUGUCUUUGUCUGUUUCAUGUUUAACAAAAGUUUGCCAAAGAAAACACACAAAAAAAUUUAAGAGACAGGAAUGGCUUGAGCCUUUAUUUGUUGAUUGGUGACCUGAGUCUUUGGAUAAUCCUGUUCUUUAUUGGGCUUUUGCCUGUACAAACCAAUUGUUUAUUUUUAUCUUAAGUACAAGUUUGUGUUUUUAACUGUUAAGUGUUUUUGGUUAUUAUUAAUGUUAUUUAUGUGUGCGUGUCCUUGUGAUUUAUGUAUGUCAGCUCCAUGUUUAAUUAAUGUUUGCAAAUGGUAGUAAAUGUUUGUCUCUCGUCUUGUCUCGUGUUCUCGCUCGUAGAUCUGUACCUUGUUGUGGUGAGAGAGCUUUAAACUAAACAGAUCUUGUUUACUUGUGUUUUCAUGCAUUGCUUUUUAAAUGAAACACAUUCUGGGUGAAAAAUAAAAGUUGUAAAGGUA